rnacentral:tRNA from 1 species
GCGGUAGUGACAGGAAAGGCAUACUGAGCCGUCUUCAACACGGUACUAUGAGGGUUCGACUCCCUUCUGCCGCUCCA